rnacentral:rRNA from 1 species
AUGGCUAUAACAGAGUUUCUGUUAUUCGUAUUGACAGCUACUCUAGGGGGGAUGUUUUUAUGUGGUGCUAACGAUUUAAUAACUAUCUUUGUAGCUCCAAAAUAUUUCAGUUUAUGUUCCUACCUAUUGUCUGGAUAUACCAAGAGAGAUCUACGGUCUAAUGAGGCUACUAUGAAAUAUUUACUCAUGUGUGGGGCAAGCUCUUCUAUUUUGGUUCAUGGUUUCUCUUGGCUAUAUGGUUUUUAA